GCCAUCGUAGCUCAGGGGUAGAGCACCUCCUUGGUAAGGAGGGGGUCGGCAGUUCGAUUCUGCUCGAUGGCU
rnacentral:tRNA from 1 species